rnacentral:rRNA from 1 species
GAUGAACGCUGGCGGCGUGCCUAAUACAUGCAAGUCGAGCGAACAGACGAGGAGCUUGCUCCUCUGACGUUAGCGGCGGACGGGUGAGUAACACGUGGAAAACCUCCCUAUAAGACUGGGAUAACUUCGGGAAACCGGAGCUAAUACCGGAUAAUAUAUUGCACCGCAUGGUUCAAUAGUGAAAGACGGUUUUGCUGGCACUUAUAGAUGGAUCCGCGCCGCAUUAGCUAGUUGGUAAGGUAACGGCUUACCAAGGGAACGAUGCGUAGCCGACCUGAGAGAGUGAUAGGCCACACGGGAACUGGGCCACGGUCCAGACUCCUACGGGAGGCAGCAGUAGCGAAUCUUCCGCAGUGGGCGAAAGCCUGACGGAGCAACGCCGCGUGAGUGAUGACGGUCUUCGGAUCGUAAAACUCUGUUAUUAGGGAAGAACAAAUGUGUAAGUAACUAUGCACGUCUUGACGGUACCUAAUCAGAAAGCCACGGCUAACUACGUG